GAUGAACGCUGGCGGCGUGCCUAAUACAUGCAAGUCGAGCGAACAGACGAGGAGCUUGCUCCUCUGACGUUAGCGGCGGACGGGUGAGUAACACGUGGAUAACCUACCUAUAAGACUGGGAUAACUUCGGGAAACCGGAGCUAAUACCGGAUAAUAUAUUGAACCGCAUGGUUCAAUAGUGAAAGACGGUUUUGCUGUCACUUAUAGAUGGAUCCGCGCCGCAUUAGCUAGUUGGUAAGGUAACGGCUUACCAAGGCAACGAUGCGUAGCCGACCUGAGAGGGGGACCGGCAACAUGGGACGGGAACCGGGUUCAAGCCCCCUAGGGGAGGCAGCAGGGGGGAAUCUUCGGAAAGGGGCAAAGGCCGGAGGGAGCAACCCGGGGGGGGGGAGAAAGGUCUUCGGAUCGAAAACCUGUUUUAUGGGGGAAAAAAAAAUGUGAAAUGAAAUAUGCGCGUCUGGACGUUACCUAAUAAGAAAGCCAGGGCUAACUACGUG
rnacentral:rRNA from 1 species